rnacentral:rRNA from 1 species
UACGAAGGGAGCUAGCGUUGUUCGGAAUCACUGGGCGUAAAGCGCACGUAGGCGGAUGUGUCAGUCAGGGGUGAAAUCCCGGAGCUCAACUUCGGAACUGCCUUUGAUACAGCACGUCUUGAGUCCGGAAGAGGUGGGUGGAAUUCCUAGUGUAGAGGUGAAAUUCGUAGAUAUUAGGAAGAACACCGGUGGCGAAGGCGGCUCUCUGGGACGGUACUGACGCUGAGACGCGAAAGCGUGGGGAGCGAACAGG